rnacentral:sRNA from 1 species
GUUUGCACUCAUCGGGGAAGGGUGAGAACCUUCGACUAAGGUUCGAUUCGAGCGAAAGCGAGAGAACGUUGCCACAGGCAACGGCCCGAAGGGCGAAGCGCGAAGCGACGAAUAAUCCUUCCCCCACCACCA